ACAAUACCCUUGAGAGCAAACACACUCCAGAUCAUUUGGACUAUUUUGGACCAUAGGUUCAUCUCCAGACAGAACAGAGAAUAAACUGGCAGUGACUUCAGCAUUAACGAUGCUUAGAGGCUGAAGUAGUGAUUCAGUCACACCGAAGGGGCCCUCACAGAGGCCCCUGUGGACCGUAGAGUGACCAAGACUGACGUACAGUAUGCACUGCCCUCUCGUCCCAUACAUCAUCUCUCCUCUAGCUUAAAAAUAAACCCAUCCACUGCCUUUAACAUAGCAACAAUUCCCUCCCCCUCCCUCUUCAUC